AGCUCCAGAAACAUGACAGAGAAGAAGAGGACUCACCAGCCUUUUGGAGAUCUGAGGAGGAGAUGGCUGCAGAGGCGGAGGCUCUGCGGGCCUAUUUUCAGGCAUGAGAGUAUCUCAAACAAUUCCCAAGGCAUAAGAAAAUGGACCUCAUUCUUCUGGACUCUGCAACAUUGGAAAUGAAGCUAACCACCCUUUAUAUCACCUCACGAUCCUGCAGCCUUGUGCAAAGAAUUUUAUUGUAUCAUGAUGAUAGAUAAGCUAGCUUCCCAAACAGUAGCAUUGACAGCCUGCCAUAGUUUCUCAGUUAUGUACUUAGAAUAGUAACAUUUCCAAACUGUCCCUUAGCCUGGAUGAAAAUAAAGUGGUUGCUAAAAUAUU